UACGUAGGGUGCGAGCGUUAAUCGGAAUUACUGGGCGUAAAGCGUGCGCAGGCGGUUUUGUAAGUCAGAUGUGAAAUCCCCGGGCUCAACCUGGGAAUUGCGUUGGAGACUGCAAGGCUGGAGUCUGGCAGAGGGGGGUAGAAUUCCACGUGUAGCAGUGAAAUGCGUAGAGAUGUGGAGGAACACCGAUGGCGAAGGCAGCCCCCUGGGUCAAGACUGACGCUCAUGCACGAAAGCGUGGGGAGCAAACAGG
rnacentral:rRNA from 1 species